rnacentral:rRNA from 1 species
GGGGUUCGAUUCCGGAGAGUUAGCCUGAGAGAUGGCUAACACUUCCAAGGAAGGCAGCAGGCGCGCAAAUUACCCAAUCCUGAUUCGGGGAGGUAGUGACAAGAAAUACCAUUGUAGGACACUACGUGUACUAUAUUUGGAAUGAGUACAAUUUAAACACCUUAACGAGAACCCAUUGGAGGGCAAGUCUGUGCCAGCAGCCGCGGUAAUUCCAGCUCCAAUAGUGUAUAUUAAAGUUGCUGCAGUUAAAAAGCUCGUAGUUGGAUUUCGGAAUGCGGUGGUCAAAGUCCGUCUCAAUGGCGUGGCUGGACGGCCGCUUCCUUACUUUGGUGUGGUGGCCCGUGUGCCCGCAAGGGUGUGCGGAGUCCGCUCCCAAUCAUUUACUUUGAAAAAAUUAGAGUGUUCAAAGCAGGCGUAACCUGGCCUUUGAAUAAUACAGCAUGGGAUAAUGAAAGAGGACAUUGGUCUUAUUUUGUUGGUUUCUAAGGCUGAUGUAAUGAUUAAUAGGGAUAGUUGGGGUCGCUCGUAUUGAGUUGUCAGAGGUGAAAUUCUAGGAUUGACUCAAGACGAACAAGUGCGAAAGCAUUCGACAAGGAUGUUUUCAUUAAUCAAGAACGAAAGUUGGGGGAUCGAAGAUGAUCAGAUACCGUCGUAGUCUCAACCAUAAACUAUGUGGACCAAGGAUCCGAGGACGUUACAUGGAUGACUCUCCGGGCACUUUGUGAGAAAUCAUAAGUAUUUGCAUUCCGGGGGGAGUAUGGUCGCAAGGCUGAAACUUAAAGGAAUUGACGGAAGGGCACCACCAGGAGUGGAACCUGCGGCUUAAUUUGACUCAACACGGGGAAACUUACCAGGUCCGGACACAUGGAGGAUUGACAGAUUGAGAGCUCUUUCUUGAUUAUGUGGGUGGUGGUGCAUGGCCGUUUUUAGUCCGUAGAGUGAUUCGUCUGGUUAAUUCCGUUAACGAACGAGACCUUAACCUAUUAAUUAGUGAUGCAAACUGGGCCUUCGGGUCCGCCAAGUUUGUAGUAAAGUUACACUUCUUAGAGGGACUCUCGGCAUCUCUAGCCGAUGGAAGUUUGAGGCAAAAACAGGUCUGUGAUGCCCUUAGAUGUCCUGGGCUGCACGCGCGUUACACUGACGAUUGCAACGAGUGUUUGUCCUUGCCCGAUGGGGCUGGGUAAGCUUUGAAAAGAUCGUCGUGAUGGGGAUUGAACCUUGCAAUUAUUGUUCAUGAACGAGGAAUUCCUAGUAAGCGCAAUUCAUCAAAUUGUGCUGAUUACGUCCCUGCCCUUUGUACACACCGCCCGUCGCUCCUACCGAUUGAAUGGUCCGGUGAGGACUCAGGACGGCAGUACUUUAACUUGGCAGCAAUGUCAAGUGGGUACAGCCGAAAUCUGUUCGAACCUUACCAUUUAGAGGAAGGAGAAGUCGUAACAAGGUU